rnacentral:rRNA from 1 species
UACCAGCUCUCCGAGUGGUGUGGACGUUUAUUGGGCCUAAAGCAUCCGUAGCUGGCUGAACAAGUCCCCUGUUAAACCCACCGAUUUAAUCGUUGGUCUGCGGGGGAUACUGCUCGGCUAGGGGACGAGAGAGGCAGACGGUAUUCCCGGGGUAGGGGUGAAAUCCUAUAAUCCCGAGAAGACCACCAGUGGCGAAGGCUGUCUGCUAGAACGCGCCCGACGGUGAGGGAUGAAAGCUGGGGGAGCGAACCGGAUUAGAUACCCGGGUAGUCCCAGCUGUAAACGAUGCAGACUAGGUGUUUGGACGGCCACGUGCCGUUCUAGUGCCGCAGGGAAGCUGUUAAGUCUGCCGCCUGGGGAGUACGAUCGCAAGAUUGAAACUUWW